rnacentral:rRNA from 1 species
ACGAACCGUGCAAACGUUGUUCGGAAUCACUGGGCUUAAAGGGCGCGUAGGCGGGUUCCCAAGUCGGUGGUGAAAUCUUUCGGCCCAACCGGAAAAGUGCCGCCGAUACUGGGAGUCUCGAGGGAGGUAGGGGUCGAUGGAACUUCAGGUGGAGCGGUGAAAUGCGUAGAUAUCUGAAGGAACGCCGGUGGCGAAAGUGAUCGACUGGACCUCUUCUGACGCUGAGGCGCGAAAGCCAGGGGAGCAAACGGGA